GAUUGGCAGUCCUGCCAUAACCAAAUGGAAUGAGGGGGAAGGGUGGAUCUCCAAAGGAAAGGAUUGCUGUGAUCAGAACAAGAAGGCGCACUGCUGGGCCCUGGGCAUAAAAAGAUGAAUCAAACUCAGGGGAACUCAUCCAAUCCAGAUCAGCAUACGCUACUGCUCAGCCAUGGCAAGGCCAAGGCAGACAUUGCCAGUCAACUACAGAGCAAUUUCCCUGGGAGCCUGGGCUUGGCCUCAAGAUCCUGCUCAGCACAGAGCUCCAGGCAGCCAGUGCUCAUCAGUUGGGGACAAUGGCGUUGGUGCCUUCAACUCCUGACUCUGGUCGGCUGUCGAGUCAACGUCGUGGUUGGGAGCCUGAGCACAGUUCCUGCGGA